AGUGCGCAUACUCGGCCUAAUGAUGUACAGUCAUCAGUAUUAUUUGGGGACAAUGGCACAGGAUUCCAUAAAUAUUUUCUUGCUUUUUUUUUUUCUUAAGAGAUUUCUAGGGUUUUGUUUUUUUUUGAAAAUCUAGCAUCAUGUUAAAUCUGUAAUCAAACGGCUGUAAGACUUUUAAAUUACAGUCAAAGGUAUGGCCUUUGUCCCUCCGCCAUUGACUUUUUGUAGCUAAUGGUGUUCACGCCGACAGUUUUAACCCUGAGUAAGGUUUUGACCUCUGGCUCCGCGCGUGUCGCGACGUGGGGGUGAGACUUAAUUAGAAGCAUGGAGCGAGUCCGGGAAUAGUAACUCGCCUAAACAAAACCUCUUGUGAAAAAGGGUUCAGAAUAAGAACUUGAACUUGUCACUUCCUGAAAGAGUGCAUUUGAAAUUAUUUCACAGUAUACUCAAAUCUGAAAAAA